UGAGCCUCCGGCUGGCUUGUCUGGAGUCUGCAUCAGAGACAGGAAGAUAUCUCUACUUGCUGUUAAUAAACUGCAGGAUUGUAGGAGUUGGCUGUGGAGGACUGGGAUGUCCAAGAUUAGUUUGCAUGAACUACAAGCCUAGCCAUCUUCAAUUUCACACCUUAGGGCUAUUAAGGAGUUCACCAAGGAAGGAUCUAGAUAGGUCUUCAGAAUUUAGAGAACUGCAAAGGGAAUGAGGAGGGAAGCAAAAUGAUGGAUCUCACACAAUGAAUUUCAGCAUGUCAAAAAACAAUUAAAGGAUGGCAAGAGGAGUUAUCUUGGGAAAGGAUUUUCAAUUUAUGGCAAUGUCAAAGCGCAUGUUGUUGAGGUUCCCCUGAUAAAAGUGGGAUCUCAUUCUGCCAGGACUGGAUUGGUUACACAAAAGCAGAGCUGGGCAAAUGUUUAUGGAAGAAUUGUUUAAUCUUUGUAAAUGCAGUUUUGGAUGAAUCCACAUCUCCUGAGUAUCAUCUCCCAGAUAACUUCAUGGAGUAUAGGUCCAUCAAUGGCUAUUAGCCAAGAUGGUCAAGGACACAACCUCAUGCUCUGGGUAUCCCUAAACCUGAGACUGGAUGACAAAGGAAGGAUCAAUUGAUAAACUGCCCUGUUCUGAAGUAUCUGGCACCAGUCACUGUCAGAUGACAGGAUACCGCUGUUCUCAUCCAAUAUGGCCAUUUUUGUUUCACACAUUUGUAAGUUUAAAGCGGUCUGCAUUAACCCAUACAGCAGUAAUUCUAUCACCAACAAUAUUUUGUCAUCUUUGUUUAAGCAGACUGAAAAACAUAAAAGAAUCUUCUAAAUAAAUUCUUUAAAUACUGCAGACAAUGC